ACAACGAAGUUCAGCUGCGUCCCUUGAUGGAAAUCCAAGCUCAAACAUCAACUUUCUGAUCCAUAGUAGCUCUAUAAGUCCUUUUGCUAUUCCCCUAAAUUCUGCUUCAGCACUAGAGAGUGCCACCACCUUUUGCUUCUUACUUUUCCAUGUCACCAAGUUACCUCCAAUGAAGGUAAAAUAUCCUGAAGUGGAUCGUCUGUCAGCACGGUCUCCUACCCAAUCAACAUCUGUAUAUCCACUGAUACUGAGAUGACCAUUCUUCUUGAACAACAUGUCUAUCCCUGCUGUUCCUUUCAGAUAUUGAACAAUCCUCAAUGCUGCCUCCAUAUAGUCUUGUUUUGGAUCGUGCAUGAACUGACUUACUAAACUCACAGCAUACGCCACGUCUGGUCUGGUGUGUGAUAAGUAAAUCAGCUUUCCUACCAGUCUCUAGUACCUUCCCCUAUCUGCUAGUCCUUCUUCUGAAUCUUUGCUCAACUCAUGAUUGACUAUUACUGGAGUAUCAAUCGGCUUGCAGUCUAUCAUUCCUGUUUCAGCUAACAAAUCAAGGAUGUACUUUCUCUGUGAUAUCAGGAUUCCCUAGUCUGACCUGAGAACUUCAAUCCCAAGGAAGUAUUUUAACCCCCCCAGGUCUUUCAUCUCAAAUUCUUAGAAUAAGUUGUUCCUCAGCCGUUUGAUCUCAUCCACAUCAUUUCCUGUUAUAAUCAUGUUGUCCACGUAUAUAAUCAAACACAUGAUUUUUCUUCCUCGUCUCUUCAAGAAUAUGGUGUGAUCGGAGUUACUUUGCUGAUAUCCAUAUUUCUUCAUUGCUUGGAUAAAUCUCCCUAACCGUGCUCUGGGAGACUGUUUUAACCCAUACAAGGCUCGCCUUAAUCGACACACUUCUCCCCAUCUAUAUCCACUCGUGAACCCUGGUGGCGCAUCCAUGUAAACUUUCUCUUUUAGAUCACCGUGCAGAAAAGCAUUCUUCACAUCAAACUGGUGAAGUGGCCAGUCUAGGUUUGCAGCAAGAGAGAAUAGGAUCCAUAUUGUAUCAAUUUUUGCUACUGAAGAGAACGUUUCGGAGUAGUCGACUCCAUAGGUUUGAGUGUAUCCUUUUGCUACCAGUCGAAUUUUAUAUCUAUCCACCAUUUCAUCCGGCUUAUACUUUACAGUAAACACCCAUUUGCAUUCCACUAGUCGUUUUUCCUUGGGUAGCCAGCAUUUCUCUCAUGUUUUAUUUUUCUCCAAGGCAUCUAUCUCGAUCUUCAUUGCUUCAAUCCAUCUCUUGUCCUUCUGGGCCUCUGUGGCAUCCUUUGGUAUCCAUUCUAAGCAAAUAUUUUUUUGUAGUGUAAUAAGCUGAGGUGAUAGAUUCUCUCCUCUAGUAAUAUUUGCCAUAGGAUACUUAGAUUUGGCUGCCUCGAAUUCUGGAUCAUACCUCCUGGGUGGAACUCCUCCGUUACUCCGAGGGGGUAGUACAUAGUGGCCUGUUUCAGGAGACUCAAGAGAGAUGAGUUCAGUGCUAAAGUUAUUAGAGGAAGGAGAGGGUUCAGAUUCAUAUAUCUCAGUGGUGUAUUCCUCAAGAUAUUCUACGGUGGUAGGCUCUGGUUGUGGUGUUGAGAUUGAGGACUGUACUAGAUGAUCAGUGUCUCCAAGUUCUGGUGUAGACUCAAGAAGGGAAAGUGGAUGGAUAGUCUCUGACUCUCCUUGAGGAUUUUCUGACGCUCCCUGAGGAUAGCUAAGCCAACUUGGAAGUGGUGGUUCUGCUGUAUUCUCCCCCUCACUGCCAGUUGGUGAGGAGAAAAAAUAUUCGUCUUCAAGAAAAGUGCAGUCCAUAGUGGUGAAGAGUCGUUUAGAGAUUGGAUCAAAACACUGAUAGCCCUUCUUAUGGACACCAUAACCGAAGAACACACACUUAAGAGCACAUGGAUCAAGUUUAGUGCGAUGUGAUUUAAGAAUGUGAACAUAGACUGUGCAACCAAAAAUUUUAGGUGAAAGGUUUAGAUGGGAAGGGAUGGUGUGAUGAGAAGAUAAGGUAUGCAAUGGAGAUCGAAAAUUAAGAAUCCGAGACGGGAGUCUAUUGAUGAGGUAAAUAGAAGUAACAACUGCUUUGGAUCAAAACUUAGAAGGAACUCGGGCUUCAAACAAUAAGGCUGGGGUGAUUUUAAGGAUGUGCCGUUUUUUUCUUUCGGCGAUCCCAUUUUGCUAUGGGGUAUACGGACAAGUAGUUUGGUGAAUGACCUCAUUGUCCCGAAAAAAGGUUUGAAGAUGAUUGUUGACAAAUUUCCUCCAUUGUCAGACUAGAGGACUUGAAUGGUGCUGUGAAAUUGGGUUUUAAUCAUGCGAAAAAAGUCGCAAAAUUUUUCAGCCACUUCGUAUUUAUGUUUCAACAAGUAGAUCCAAGUAACAUGAGUGCAAUCAUCAAUAAAAGUAACAAAGUAUCUAUAAUCAUGAGAAACAGUUUCGGGGCAGGCCCCCAUACAUUAGAGUGUAUUAUUGAGAAUGGAGUAUCAGAUUUAUUUGCGGAAAUAUGAUAAGUACUCUUAUGACUUUUAGCAAGCACACAUGAAGAACAAACAAGGAUAUCAAUGGAUUUAAAUUCAGGAAACAAAGCACGAAGAUAUUCACUUGAGGGAUGGCCAAAGCGCGAGUGUCAAAGCCUGAUAAGCGGUUGUUGAAGCCCUAAAAAAUAAACCUAUUAAACAAUCAACAAUAAACUUGUAGAUAGUGGCAAUAAGGUCGAACCACAGGGAAUUGACACCAAUUAUUUUCCUAAUAAUGACUAGGUCAAGUAAAUAACAAGUAAUUAAAAGAGGGGGGUUUUGAGUUGAUGGAUUAACACUAAAUAACAAAAGAAAUCAAUAAUUUAAAGUUUGAGUAAAUCAAUAAGAGAAAAGCUUCUAGUUGAAGUAUGAAUCUAUUUCAGAUUGUUUAGAAUUGAUCAUUGAUUAUUUAGGAUUCCUAUUUUAUUUCAAUAAAUUGGUUUUGGUUAUGGAAGACGCUUCUCACAACCAAAUUCCUCCUUAGUUCUAGUUUGAUUAGGAAACGUUCGCUAAUCAAACACUAAUCAACAAGUUGCCAAGGAACGUCCUUGGGGCAUUAUAGCAUCGAACAACUGUUGACUGCAUUAAGACUUAGAGAAACCCAAUUCUAUCCUUGCCAACCGCGUGGUCAAGUUUAGAUUAUGCACUUUGAUUAAAUGUGUAUUUGAACAACCUAAGCAAUUACGGACCUAAAUCAUUCAAACAAUAUUACUUAAGCAAUUUAAAAGCAAUGGACCCUUAUUGAUUCUAAAAGCAAAGUAAUAAUUAUGGAAAGCUCAAAUUGCAUAAAUAUUGAAAAUAAAUAGAAGUUUAACAAUGGAGAUUUAAAUCUCCCAAUUCAUCACAAAAUCUGAAAUUCACCAACUUCAACUAGAAAAGAAGGAAAUUAGCCACUCAUGGUAGACUAAAUACACAAAAGAUGAAAAGAAAGGAAAGAAAGAAGCUGCAGAGUUUCUAGCGAAGGGAGAAGAUGCUGAGUAGCUGAUCAGAAGAUGCCCCUUGCUGGUUUGGAGGUUGCUCUUUUAUAGCUGAAGAAUUCCAUCCUUCUAGGGUUUUGAAAUCCCUUUUUAAUUUGGCUUGUGAUUCCUCUUUUGAUGUUGAGUUUAAUUGCAAUUGGAAUUCCUUAGGUGAGAAGCUCUUUCGUGACUCUUGGAAUUGUGUUGGUAGUGAUUGAGUUGGAUUUGGACUUCUGAAAAUUCGAAUUUUGGUUCCCUGCUGUUUCCCGCCUCUGCUGUCAAUUUCUGCUGUCAAGGUGAUUUGAGCAGUUUCUGCGAGUGAUUUGGGCAAAUCACUUGCCCAAUCUGGGCAAAUCGUUUUCUGGGAUUCAGUCCAGUUUCUGUCUCUGUCUUUGCGAGUGAUUUGAUCAGUUUCUUCGAGUGAUUUGAUCAGUUUCUUCGAGUGAUUUGGGCAAAUCACUGACCCAAUCACUUUUUCAGCUUUUUCUUCACUUUUUCUCCAACUUUCCAAUCUCUUCCUUUUCUGUAAAAACAUGACAAAAAUACAAAUUAAGCUAGAAAAAUGUGUAAAUAAACAGUACUAGAUAUAAUAAAAAUGUGUCUAAAUUAUGCUUGAUCAGAGCCACAACUGUUGGGUUGAAGACCCUUGAGCUAAGUGAGCUGACCCAGUGCUUGAGACCUCCUCCACAUAGUACAGUCCAUCUUUCUCAAAACCACGACUCAGUACCAUGUCCGUAUAAAUAUCCUGCAAAAUACAAAAAUGAGGAUACAUGAAUACUUUGCAAUUUAACUGCUUGGUGAUUUGACUGAUAGAGAGUAAUUUGCAAGAUAAGGAGGGUACAUAAAGGCAGUUUGAGACAUUUAAAGUGGGGGUUAUAGAAAUGAUACUACCACCGAUGACUGGGAAUGAGCCACCGGUAGCGUUUAGGAUAUUGGAUUUGGUGGGUGGAAUUCGAGAAACAAUAUUUAAAGGAUCAUUGGUCAUAGUGUCUGUGGCUCCUGAAUCAAAUAUCCAACUACUAGUACUAUGCAAUUAUUAACAUGGCCAACUGUCGCCGGAGAUGAGAAAGUGGGAUGUGCUGAAUCAAGAGUAAUUUGAUUUAUUGGUUUCUGAUUUGCAUUUUGGCUAUUCUGAAUUAAUAGAAAGAGUUUGUGUGACAGGUCUGCUAUUAGAUCAGUUACUGCCUGGAAUUGAUCGGCUGGACUCUGGCUAGAAGAAUCGGCCAUUGUUGUUUCUCAGUUAGAGAAGGUUGGGAAAAAUAUUUUAGCAAAUGAUGAUUGCAAGAAAAAUCAACUAAACUUUUAGACUGAAACCCUCUCUAAUACCAUGUUAAAUUUGGGUCAAGCCUAACUCACCCCAAAAGCUUGCUCAAGAGGGAUGAGUGCCUAUGACUCAUAUAAGGGGCACAUUACCUCUUUCCACAACCGAUGUGGUAUUCAACACAUCCCUCUCACGCCCAGAAUUUUUACUGGUGCGUGACAUAUUUAUGAGGCACAUUACCCCUUUCCACAACCAAUGUGAGAUUCAAUGCACCCCUUACGCUCAAAAUUUUUACUGGUGCGUGACACAUUUAUGGGAGGCCCAACAUUGGAUGGGGAAGCUUUGAUACCAUCUAGAAUUAUAGGAAGAAAAGUAUUUUUCAUUUUCUUGCUUUCUAUGUAAUAGGAUACAAGGAUUAUAUAGUACAACAUAUGAUCAAUUAUGACUAUGAUCAUACUAUCAAUUAUAGUUUACAAUCACGUUAAGAUAAUGCUAACUAUGGUAAUAUUAACCAUUGAUUAAUUACAAUUAUGCUAGAAUAUUCUUUCCAGCAAACCCACUUGAAUUUCCCCCUAAAUCCAGUCGAUACAAUAGCAUCUCUUUCAUCUUUCACAUUUUGGUAUCUAUCAUCCAUCGGUACAUAUCCCAGAGGCUAUAGAAAAGACACUUUUCCUUCACCUUCUCUCUCAAAUGCCAAAAAACAAUGAUCGAAGACCCAUCUAAUGCCUUUCUCUGCUCGAUUGAGAGAAGCUUCCACUGCCGAUAUUGUGAAUUGCGAGAUGCUCCCUCACCGAUGAUCCUAAGGCUUGAUCGAAGACCCACGGAAAGCUCAUCCACGACCCAGCCAAGGAGAUGUGAGAGCUAGAAGAGCGGAUAAUAAAAGAUAAGGAAGUGGAAAAGACCGGAUAGGAAGAGAAAAACAGAAAGGAUUUUGGAAAAAGAAUUUGAGGAUAAUUUUGUAAUUUUUAAUACUCUCUCUCCUUUGCUGCAUAUCAAGGACAUCCCUUAAAUGCCAGGCUUAAUUAUCAUCACAAAUUCAAACCUGAAUCUUAUAGUACUUCUUUACGGUUCCAAGUUAUAACAGUUAAGUUCUAUGGACAUCUCACUUUCCUCCAUUAAAUCUUCUGGUGACAUGCAUGCAAGGCUAUUUACUGUAAGCAGCUAACAAUCUUAAAAGAUGUAAUGUAAUAUAUUGACAAGGUUCUAUGAUAUUUAGGUGGAUGUGGCAGGAAAUCUUCACUUCUAACAUGGCAAGUUCUUGUCGGAGUUGAUCAGUUUACAGGGUUUGUGUGUGGAGGUAUAUAUAUAUAUAUAUAUAUANNNNNNNNNNNNNNNNNNNNNNNNNNNNNNNNNNNNNNNNNNNAUAUAUAUAUAUAUAUAUAUAUAUGGAAAUUAUUCAAGAAUCACAUAAAUAAUUUCUGGUCGGAAUUCGACACAAUAAAUGCCUUCAGGACUCUGGUAGGUAAAGUUGUUUACGAAAAUGUUGUCUGCAACUUCAAUAAUUAACUACCUAAAGUCGUAAAGUUGCUUGUACCAUAUAGCUCUUAUUAAAUACAGCUGCGUUGGCAACUUUAAAUGCAAAAAUAAGAACUUGUUUGAUUAGGGUUAAAUUAAUUAAAAAAUUUAAAUUCUCUGAAUAUUGAUAUAUUUAACUUGUUUUAUCAGCAUUUUUUUUCAAUUUUUCAGAAACUCAAGGAAGUUAAGUCUUUGAAAUGAAGUAAUUUCUCAGGAAAUAGAAAAUUUGAAUCAAACAAAAUUUAAGAUUGUUUUGCAAUAAUAAUAAUAAUAAUUAUUAUUUAUUGAUAUAAGGUAAACUCUAUAAUUUUAAAUUCAAUUUUAAUUAAUAAAAAAAGUAAUUAUGUACCAUCUCAUCAAGCUGAUGGUAACCAAUGAUAUUAGAUUCUACUGUGUUUUGAUGUGGACAUCUGGAUAGCGGCUCGAUUCAGUUGACCAUUACUCUAUAAUUAAUUCAAUUAGAUCUUUUCUUAUUUGAUUUUGAAAAACGAGUCUUAUAAAAUAGAAAAAGAUGGUCAAAAAUUUACUGGAGAUGUACUCGAUGUAGAUCCUCCUAUGCUCAAAUUAGUCCUUCUUUUGUAAAUAUGAAAGUGAUUGGCUUCUUUUGACUUUAGUUCUUUUGGAGAGCUUUCUAUCUCAAGGAGACUGAAACUCUGGUGAGAGUUUUAGAGAAGAAAGGGUUGUUUUUCAUCAGCAAUGGAUUGUCUUUGGCGAAAUUGAUUCAGAAAUAUUUGUGUUCCGAUUUUCUACUUUAUGUCCCAUCAAAUUAAGAUAACAAAUCAAUGUGGAACAGUUGAGCCCAUACCCUUUGUCAAACGUGUCAAACAACUAAAUAAUUUUUCGACAUGUGCAUUUAAUAUUUCGAAAAGGAUUAAAGAGGCCAACUAUCAUAGGGAGAUCGGUUGUAUGGCUCCGAUCUUAUCGGAUUCUACUCGGUUUAUACGAAUUUUAUUGGAAUCAAUAGUUUUUAUAUUUAUUUUUAAUUAUAUGGCAUGAACACAGAAAAAGUCAUUUCUCUCGUUUUGGAUAUCGAGAAGGUCAAGAGAAAUGGCCUAAUAUUCAGACUUUUAUAAAUCAGGCUUUUUACUGCCGAGUAAGAGUAAGUGAAAAGAUUAGCUCACUCUUUUUAAAAUAUGCGUACACGUAUCACAAUUUUAGCGAUUUUUAUUUUUAUAUCGAGGCAACGUAUUAUAAAAAAGUUAAUAAUUUUAUUAAAAAUAAUUAAAACUUGAAAAAUGUAAAGUUGUCUUAAAUUGCUAUGUAAGCUAUGAAUAGCCUUGUGAUGGUAUGGUUAGUAAUUGAUUUUAGAUUAUAUCAUGAUUUAUUGUAAUAUUAUUAAUUUCGUGUAUCAUGAUGUAAUAAUUUCUCAAUAAAAGUAUGAUUAGUGGCCACGUACAUCCAUCUAUUCUAGUUUUAUUAGAAUACCAUUGAAUGACUGUUCUACAAUUAAUAAAAAAUUAACCCUUCGAGAUUCGUGGCUGCUCCUAACAAUGGUUUCUCCGAUUAUCAAAUCUGAAUCCGACAGCAGAACAAAUGCCUUCGGUCUCCGGUAGGUAAAGUUGUUAAAACAAAUCUUGUCUGUUCAAUAAUGAACUACCUAAAGCAGUAAAAUUGCUCGUACCAUAUAGCUCUAUUAAAUAUAUAAUUUUUUAAAAUAAGAAUUAAAAAAAAAAUUUAAAAUUUCUUAAAUUUAUUCAGAUAUAUUUAUUAUCGAUCUAAAUUUAUCAGUGCUAUUUAAUAUAUAAUUAACGUAAGACUAACAUUUUAUGUCGGUGUUUGCUACUCCGAACAAUGUUUUCUGAAUUUUGAGGCUACUCCGAACAACGUUUUCUGAAUUUUGAGGUUGUAAUAGGUUUUAACAUAACAUCUAAUUACACUUAUGUCGAUUGAUAAUUUUGAAGGGUUUUCUGCAUUUGAAACCUGGAAUCCAGAAGGGUAUAUUUCUUGAGAUACCCAUUUCGAAACAUUGAUAAGACUUGUCGACAUUUUGACACUAAAAAACAGUGGACACAGCUAAACAAGGAACGCACAAGUUUGUUCCCAAAAAGGAGUAGCAUCUUCUUCAUAUGUAGCUCAUGCAAGGAUGAAUCUAGAUUAAUAACCUAAGCUUAGAUGUUUUUUCUUGGACUAUUCGUACGUUGAAAUAGUAGAAAAGAUUUGUGUCUGUUCUUUUUAACCCUGUUUUCACAUGCAACUCUUGUACAGAUCUGAAUAGAUUUGAAGCCACUGGCAAAAUUAACACUGCAGCAAUGGCUGGCUGGCUGGAAUUGCUCCCUCUGAUUUUUCUGCUUCAAAUAAGAAACAACAGAGUACUCUGUCUUUUGACUUCUUCUCCCAGAUUAUGUCAAAGCCAAGCUUUCUCUAGCUGUUUUCAACAACUUCUCUUUUUUUUUUUUUUUUUUUUUUUUAAAUUACUGUAUUGUUCACAGCUCUCCCUCAUGCAUGUGUCCUUUACUUUCCGUAUUGUUUUAUCUUAUUCAUAUUUUAACCUGAU
rnacentral:lncRNA from 1 species